UGAGGAAUAUUGGACAAUGGAUGGAAAUCUGAUCCAGCCAUGCCGCGUGCAGGAAGACGGCCCUAUGGGUUGUAAACUGCUUUUGUAUGGGAGCAAUAAGGACUACGUGUAGUUUGAUGAGAGUACCAUACGAAUAAGCAUCGGCUAACUCCGUGCCAGCAGCCGCGGUAAUACGGAGGAUGCGAGCGUUAUCCGGAUUUAUUGGGUUUAAAGGGUGCGCAGGCGGGAUGUUAAGUCGGCGGUGAAAUUUUGCAGCUCAACUGUAAAAGUGCCUUCGAUACUGGCCUUCUUGAGUGUGGAUGAAGUAGGCGGAAUUUGUGGUGUAGCGGUGAAAUGCUUAGAUAUCACGAGGAACUCCGAUUGCGCAGGCAGCUUACUAAACUACAACUGACGCUCAUGCACGAAGGCGUGGGGAUCAAACA
rnacentral:rRNA from 1 species